rnacentral:lncRNA from 1 species
CAGGCCCUACGCCCUAACCCCCUACCAGGAGGACCAGGAUUUUCUGUUAGGGCUUACUCCCUUAAUCAAGAGUAUGUAAUACAUACAAAGAAAUAUAGUGACCCAUCUGCCCUCGGAAACCUAAUAGCCAUUCGGGGUCGGAAAAAGUCAGCCAAGAGAGGCUGAUAGGAAAGAUUAAAGACAUUUCACUCAAGACAAGUUGAAGAAGAGUAAAAUGUGAAGGCCCUUAUGAUGCGCCAGGUGCGUUUCAUAAGGGUAUGAGUAUUGAUACACUUUGUGUUCCCGCUCAUACUGUAACGGUCCACCCGUUAUAAUAUCAUUUUUAGCGCUUUAAUUAUUUUUAAAAUUAUUUUCUUUUGACCUCCCAUUUCAAUUCUGUAAUUUCUCGUAAAGGAUUUCUCAUGUGACGUCACACUGUACGGAACAUAGUUGAACCGUUCCUUGUCAUUUAAUUCGUGUUUCGUGAGAGUUUGACGUCUUCCUCGCUGAAUGAGAGAGGAAUGCUCUUUACUUGACUGUGAGCUGUGGUUCGAAUCGGUUAUACCAAUGGCGGGUUGAUAAUUUCAACUAUUUAAAUAAUUUUUGUUAAUUUCCAAGUGAAAAGUUAUCUGGAGCCUGGAGUAUGGAAACAUAUGUGUAACUCAACACCUCAUGGAAUCUGGAUAAGAAUCAACCCGCCAUUUGGGAGAAACCAUAAGAUGAAGUCAUAGCCCCUUCUUUGACCACCUAGGGAAACCACCACAGCCACAGUCAAGUCACCAUUGGGAGUAAGUCAUUUUUGGGAACAAGCUUUUUGGGAGCAUUCCAGCUCCUUUUCGUCCUGCCACCUGGGCCUACGGAGGGCAUGGGACCGCAUCAUCUUGAUGCUCAUUUCUGAGGAUGCAGCAGCAACCUCUUUAGGAGUCGUUUGGGAACAUUUAGUGUUGUGCAUUAAGUAACUUAUGGUUUUUAUAUUUUAGACAUUUGAUUUAAUGCACCAUGUUAAUUAAUUUUUUUUUCCAGAUUUAGUUUACCUCUGGUUUUUUUUAAUAUGACAUAUUUGUAUAUUAUUGUAUUUGGUUCCCAAACUUUGUAUCUACGGUAACUUUUUGUGCACAGGAAUAAGCAUAGAGAAAAUUAGGUUUUUAAUACUUUAUUAUUGCUUUAUUUUUGGUUUAUGUAAUUCGGGUAAAUUUAUUUUGUAAUAUUACUUGCUUGUUUCCCAAAUAUUUUCUUGUUAUUCACUUUAUUUCGAUUGUUCGGUUAAUUCGUCGCUACUUUAGUUCAUUGCAUUUUCUCGGUUAAUUUAGGUCAUCGUUUCGGUAUUAAUUACUUCAUUACUAUCACUUUAUUCAUUUGUAUAUUUAACUUUAUUUAUUCAUUAUGGUAUUUUCUCUUAGUGAGGCUUGGGCCUAUUUAUUUGUAGUAUUUUCAUCUUUGUCAGUUUCAUUUAGUUGUACGUAGCAGGCGUACUAUAACCAUUUGGUAGAAGACUCAUGUGAGUUGUACCCUAUAUAUUAGUAAGAGGUACUUAUAAGUUUUGUAACAGGUAACAUUAUUAUUAUCUCAAAUAUAACUUUUUGUAUAACUUAUGUCAUUUUAGAGUCACAUGAUAUACACUUUGUGUAACUCAGAGAUUGUCAAAAAUCUAGUAGUUAUUUUUAAUAAAUAUGUAUUUAUUUUGUAUAUCAAUUAUUUUAUUAUUCCUUUAUGUUCAUUAUUACAGGUUUGAUAUAUUUAAUAUUUGACAGCAGUAUAAGAUACCUGGGAAAAUGAUCGAAGAUCAUUUUCAUGGCGCCCAUGAUUUGUUACUUUUAUUUAUUUUGUUCGUCUUUAGCAACUACUCAUCUUCAUUCAUUUUCAGUACAUUAUUCUUAUUUUAUUAUUUCACCUUUUAGUCAUCAUUACUAUCUACAUAGAGCUACUGUUCUUCGACAGGCAUGCAAACGAGCCGUAUCCAUCCUUGAGUGUCAAGUGGUUUUCUUGCAUCUCUUGCUAGCCAACUCUAUUCAGUUUGCCUCUGUCUCUUCCCACUUCUACUUCUAUCCCUUCUAAUCCCCCUUUCUUCAGUACUACUGCAAAGUAGUAUUUUUUAUUUUCUUACUUCGGCUUCAACCUAGAAGCCACUUCACCCUUUUCUUUACAGCCCAUCUCUCUACAUCUAUGUCCCAUUAGUUAUUUAUUUAUUUUUUCCUUACUUCUGUUGGAGUACCUAUAUCUUUCUUUUUACUUUCACUCCAACAGAAGUUUUCUUAUUUUUGUUGCACUGGCUGCCGAAUGCGUGGUGCCAACCGUUUUAUGGUUCUAAGACAGUAGUUCUUUUAGUUCAAUUUUCUUUUAUUGGAAUUUUCUGUUUUAUUAACUUUUUGAUAUCUUUGUAUACAUGUUACUUCUGAUUUAUUUUUGGUCUUUAAAACAUUACGAAUACUAAACAGGUAGACUUAUGCUGCUUUUGGUUUUGAUUAGUUUAUUUCGAUACCUCAUUUUUAGUUUUAGUGGUACAGCUCAUAUUUUAGUUUGAAUUUUGUAUUUUUAUUGGAAACUUAUUUGUGUAUUUAGAAUGAGUAUACAUGACUGACAUUAUGUUCUAUUAUUAUGGAUUUUUAGACCUCCUACCAAUGGUAGUGUGUUUGCACGUACAAUUAAUUAUUGACUAUAUGCAUAUAUUUUUUUCCUAGUGUGGUUAUAUUUUACACCUAACUAGAAAUUAUUUUCAGUAUUUAGGUAUUUUAUUUACUUUAUUGAUUUGAUUAUUUAUAUAUUUUGCUGGCAUUUUGAUUUGUUGGUGUAUCGCUAAUAUUUUCUCCAUAUGUAUCUUUGUCUUACAAACUUUAGAUUAUAUUUUAUAUUUUUGAUAUUUGGGUUGUUUGGUAAGACAGGCACACACCACAAAGCAAUAUCAGUCCAGAAAAUAACUUCUAUACAUGAUACGUUGAAUUCGCAUGGUUCGGAUGGUUACAGAUGGUCAUCCAAAUUAUUUUUUUCUUAAAUUGGUAGUGUUAAACAUAACAAUUAUGAUUAUUGUAUGGUAAAGUAGUUCCAUUAUCCUUCUCAUCUUCUAGUUUGUUAAUUUUGAUAAUAAUAUUAUAUUAAUGUGGGUACCAUAAUAUAAUGCUUAUAUGAAUCAGAUACUUUAGGUUGAGAUUCAAAUAUAAAUUCUUUAUUAGUUAGGAAACAUUGAUACUACUUUUCUAUUAAGUUUUAGAACAAUCUUCAGAAGAAGAUUACCUUAACAGUGUUGUUCAAGCUAAUCUCUUCUUCUGUUUGUCUUUAGCUUAGCUCAAUCUUUAGUAUGGUUAGAAAUUUUAGUCCAAUAUUGUUUUUUUAUCAUAUGAUAAUGCAGGUACCCACAUAAAUUGCUUGAUUUCAUCUUUGGCUUAGUUUUGAUGACUUUUAUUUAUUACUUAUUAAUUUAAUUAUUAUGUAGUACUUUAUGUAUGAGUUUUUUUUUGGUAUUAUAAGCACAUUGAGCAUUGUAAUUAUUAUUAUGAGUCAAUAUUAUUAAUUGCUGAUCCUGUCAGUAGGAUUAUACAAUUAAUAAGAACUUCACUUGUAUUUUUGUCUAGUUUUUGCACACCUAACCCCUAAGUUAGAAGGGUUGUUGAGUAUUAUAUAUUUGGAUAGGUGAACUCAUACAAGUACCUACUCUUGGUUAAUAUGUAUAUUAUGAUGGAACUAUGUUACACUACCAUAUCUCAGGUUAUGUGUUAUAUUAUUUUGAAUAUUUGAUUACUUACUAAUUUUUAUUAUUUUUUAUAUCUUGUCCUUGAAUUUGCCAUAUUGGAAAGAUGUGUUUUUUUUUUAAUUUGUUAUUGGGUUAAGUACUCUAUUAACAUUUGUCUCCAAUAUCUUAAAUACUUUAUAAUAAUUCAGACCCUUAGUUCCUAUACAGUAUGAUUCUGGAAUUAGUUUGGAAUUUUGAUGUAAGUAUGUAUGAAUGCUUGAGUCUUUCAUAUUUCUGCUUAUGAAUAGUCUGUCAAUGCUCUGAUUUGUGAAUGCGUGGGUUCGAAGUUGUUGCUCAGCAACUGAUCACUGCUGUUUGAUUGGCUUCGUAAUCUAUGUCUUUCAUAGCAGAGUAGGCAGACGUUUUACCAUUAUAAUAUUUCUUGUAAGGAAAUGACGGUCGCAUGUCCUAACCAUUCUUCUGUAAUUAGUCCAAGUAUUCCAGUUUUUUUUUACAAUUUAAUAGGGAAGUAUUUAGUUCAUACUAGGUCUUUUACUUCAUAGUAUGUUUGUACUUUGAUAGUUGAUGGAUAAACAUGGAUAAAUAUCUUCCGCACUUGUUUAUAAAUCAAUGUUUACGCCAUCCCUAUACAUAGUAGGUUCAUUAAGUCAGUAUUUGGAGUGUUUAGACAGAUGAGUUGUUCAUUUGAGUAUAUUCCCACUUCUUUCCUUAGGCAUUAGUCUUGCUAUGCAGAUUCUGGAAUAUUUCCUGAAUAAUUCUAUGUAUGUGAGAACGCAUGAAUCUGCAGUUUUAUUUAAAACUUGUUGCUCGUUCUCGUCAAUUUUUUUUCCUAUCACUUAUCACAUAUUUUUUUCCUAUCACUUAUCAUGGUGUCAUAGAACUUAUUAGUUCACCAUUUAUUCUUUUCCCUUUCUUACUUAUUCUUACAUUAUUAGUACUUUAUCUGUGUCUGGCUAUUCUCAUACAUCUGUUGUAGCAACAUGCUAUAGUUCGCGAAUACCAGCACGAAUUAAGUUUAUGUAGUUUCUAUAAUAUUCUAGUCAAUACACUUUAGGUAUUUAUCAUACCUUUGAUUUAGUUUGGUUACAUCUCUGUUACUUAGUCUGUUGGUAAUUUUUUUUGUGACUUAUUUUGAUUACUUAGUUUGGAUAGGUUCAUAUUACCGGAUGAGGGUGUAUGUAGACCUAAUUUAUUUAUUUUGUUCAGUAUUAGUUACCAUUGGAUCCAAUAAUUUAGUUUAUUUAGUAUUAGUAAGAAUUGGUCCAUAAAUUUGCCUGAUCGUUCUUCUUUGGAUAUACUCCUAUAUAAAUCUGGUGUCCAUUGAUAGUCCGAUUCUGGAUAAGUGUCCGAUUCUUCAUUUAUUUUGUGUAUUUGGUUGGAUAGGUUCGUAUUACCGGAUGUGGGUGUACGUAGACCUGAUCUGUUUAUGUGGUUUAGUAUUGGUGUGAAUUGGUCCAUAAAUUUGCCUGGUCGUUCUUCUUUGGAUAUGCCUUUUAUGAAUCUGGUGUCCACUAAUAGUUCGACUUUGGAUUAAGUGUCCGAUUCCACAUCUAUUUUGGUUAUUGAGUUUUGGAUUCCUUUGGUAUGUUUAUUAUUGGUAUUAUUUGGCAUUAGUGAGAGUUGUUCCAUAAAUCUUCCUGAUUGUUCUUCUCUGGAUAUACUAUUAUGAAUCUGGUGUCCAUUGUUAGUUCAAUUUUGGAUUAAGUGUUCAAUUCUUUACUUAUUUUAGUUACUGAUUUUUUUUUAUUCACUUUGAUAUAUUUACUUGUGAUAUGGUUCGAAUUGGCUCACACCUUUUCCUGGUUGUUCCGUCCUUGGAUAUAUCCUUUAUAAAUCUGAUGUCCAUGGAUAUUUCAAUUUUGGUUUGGUGCCCAAUUCGACACUUAUCAUUAUUAUGAACGUUAGUACCGUAUUUAGUUUUGUUUUGGCUUUUAAGCAAUAUUAUGUCAGUAUUUGGUAGCAGAGAGUAACAUAGUAACAUUUUAGUAUGAAUUUGAGUCAUAUAUUUGUUUAUUUUUCCUGAUCAUUAGUUUAUUCUUAUUGGUAAUCUUGCGAAUCAACGUGGAUUGUUAGACUAGUGUAAAUUUUAUUUGUUAUAUUUUGAGGUUUAAAAAAAAAUUUCUUUGAUAAAUUUUUUUUUCCGAGUAGGAGGGGAUUGUAACGGUCCACCCGUUAUAAUAUCAUUUUUAGCGCUUUAAUUAUUUUUAAAAUUAUUUUCUUUUGACCUCCCAUUUAAAUUCUUUAAUUUCUCGUAAAGGACUUCUCAUGUGACGUCACACUGUACGGAACAUAGUUGAACCGUUCCUUGUCAUUUAUUUCGUGUUUCGUGAGAGUUUGACGUCUUCCUCGCUGAAUGAGAGAGGAAUGCUCUUUACUUGACUGUGAGCUGUGGUUCGAAUCGGUUAUACCAAUGGCGGGUUGAUAAUUUCAACUAUUUAAAUCAUUUUUGGUAAUUUCCAAGUGAAAAGUUAUCUGGAGCCUGGAGUAUGGAAACAUAUGUGUAACUCAACACCUCAUGGAAUCUGGAUAAGAAUCAACCCGCCAUUUGGGAGAAACCAUAAGAUGAAGUCAUAGCCCCUUCUUUGACCACCUAGGGAAACCACCACAGCCACAGUCAAGUCACCAUUGGGAGUAAGUCAUUUUUGGGAACAAGCUUUUUGGGAGCAUUCCAGCUCCUUUUCGUCCUGCCACCUGGGCCUACGGAGGGCAUGGGACCGCAUCAUCUUGAUGCUCAUUUCUGAGGAUGCAGCAGCAACCUCUUUAGGAGUCGUUUGGGAACAUUUAGUGUUGUGCAUUAAGUAACUUUUGGUUUUUAUAUUUUAGACAUUUGAUUUAAUGCACCAUGUUAAUUAAUUUUUUUUCCAGAUUUAGUUUACCUCUGGUUUUUUUUAAUAUGACAUAUUUGUAUAUUAUUGUAUUUGGUUCCCAAACUUUGUAUCUACGGUAACUUCUUGUGCACAGGAAUAAGCCUAGAGAAAAUUAGGUUUUUAAUACUUUAUUAUUGCUUUAUUAUUGGUUUAUGUAAUUCGGGUAAAUUUAUUUUGUAAUAUUACUUGCUUGUUUCCCAAAUAUUUUCUUGUUAUUCACUUUAUUUCGAUUGUUCGGUUAAUUCGUCGCUACUUUAGUUCAUUGCAUUUUCUCGGUUAAUUUAGGUCAUCGUUUCGGUAUUAAUUACUUCAUUACUAUCACUUUAUUCAUUUGUAUAUUUAACUUUAUUUAUUCAUUAUGGUAUUUACUCUUAGUGAGGCUUGGGCCUAUUUAUUUGUAGUAUUUUCAUCUUUGUCAGUUUCAUUUAGUUGUACGUAGCAGGCGUACUAUAACCAUUUGGUAGAAGACUCAUGUGAGUUGUACCCUAUAUAUUAGUAAGAGGUACUUAUAAGUUUUGUAACAGGUAACAUUAUUAUUAUCUCAAAUAUAACUUUUUGUAUAACUUAUGUCAUUUUAGAGUCACAUGAUAUACACUUUGUGUAACUCAGAGAUUGUCAAAAAUCUAGUAGUUAUUUUUAAUAAAUAUGUAUUUAUUUUGUA